AGGGGAUCGUAAGACCUCGCGCUAUUGGAGCGGCCGAUGUCCGAUUAGCUAGUUGGUAGGGUAAUGGCCUACCAAGGCAACGAUCGGUAGCUGGUCUGAGAGGAUGAUCAGCCACACUGGGACUGAGACACGGCCCAGACUCCUACGGGAGGCAGCAGUGGGGAAUUUUGGACAAUGGGCGCAAGCCUGAUCCAGCCAUGCCGCGUGAGUGAAGAAGGCCUUCGGGUUGUAAAGCUCUUUCGGCCGGAACGAAAUCGUCCGGGCUAAUACCCCGGAUGGAUGACGGUACCGGAAGAAGAAGCACCGGCUAACUACGUGCCAGCAGCCGCGGUAAUACGUAGGGUGCAGGCGUUAAUCGGAAUUACUGGGCGUAAAGCGUGCGCAGGCGGCUUCUCAAGUCAGAUGUGAAAUCCCCGAGCUUAACCUGGGAACUGCGUUUGAAACUACA
rnacentral:rRNA from 1 species